rnacentral:rRNA from 1 species
GUGGGGAAUCUUAGACAAUGGGCGCAAGCCUGAUCUAGCCAUGCCGCGUGAGUGAUGAAGGCCCUAGGGUUGUAAAGCUCUUUCAGCUGGGAAGAUAAUGACGGUACCAGCAGAAGAAGCCCCGGCUAACUCCGUGCCAGCAGCCGCGGUAAUACGGAGGGGGCUAGCGUUGUUCGGAAUUACUGGGCUUAAAGCGCGCGUAGGCGGACUGAAAAGUUGGGGGUGAAAUCCCGGGGCUCAACCUCGGAACUGCCUUCAAAACUAUCAGUCUGGAGUUCGAGAGAGGUGAGUGGAAUUCCGAGUGUAGAGGUGAAAUUCGUAGAUAUUCGGAGGAACACCAGUGGCGAAGGCGGCUCACUGGCUCGAUACUGACGCUGAGGUGCGAAAGCGUGGGGAGCAAACAGGAUUAGAUACCCGGGUAGUCC